rnacentral:rRNA from 1 species
ACGGAAGGCAGCAGUGGGGAAUAUUGGACAAUGGGGGAAACCCUGAUCCAGCGACGCCGCGUGAGUGAAGAAGUAUUUCGGUAUGUAAAGCUCUAUCAGCAAGGAAGAAAAUGACGGUACUUGACUAAGAAGCUCCGGCUAAAUACGUGCCAGCAGCCGCGGUAAUACGUAUGGAGCAAGCGUUAUCCGGAUUUACUGGGUGUAAAGGGAGCGUAGACGGCUUUGCAAGUCUGAAGUGAAAGCCCGGGGCUCAACCCCGGAACUGCUUUGGAAACUGUAGAGCUAGAGUACGGGAGAGGUAAGCGGAAUUCCUAGUGUAGCGGUGAAAUGCGUAGAUAUUAGGAGGAACACCAGUGGCGAAGGCGGCUUACUGGACUGUAACUGACGUUGAGGCUCGAAAGCGUGGGGAGCAAACAGGAUUAGAUACCCUGGUA